rnacentral:rRNA from 1 species
GACGGAGGAUGCAAGUGUUAUCCGGAAUCACUGGGCGUAAAGCGUCUGUAGGUGGUUUAAAAAGUCCACUGUUAAAGAUUGAAGCUUAACUUCAAAAAUGCCGUGGAAACUUUUAAACUUGAGUAUGAUAGGGGUAGAGGGAAUUUCCAGUGGAGCGGUGAAAUGCGUAGAUAUUGGAAAGACCACCAAUGGCGAAGGCACUCUACUGGGCCAUUACUGACACUGGAGAGACGAAAGCUAGGGGAGCAAAUGGG